rnacentral:rRNA from 1 species
GACGAAGGGGGCUAGCGUUGUUCGGAAUCACUGGGCGUAAAGCGCACGUAGGCGGCUUUUUAAGUCAGGGGUGAAAUCCUGGAGCUCAACUCCAGAACUGCCUUUGAUACUGAGAAGCUCGAGUCCGGGAGAGGUGAGUGGAACUGCGAGUGUAGAGGUGAAAUUCGUAGAUAUUCGCAAGAACACCAGUGGCGAAGGCGGCUCACUGGCCCGGUACUGACGCUGAGGUGCGAAAGCGUGGGGAGCAAACAGG